rnacentral:rRNA from 1 species
GAUGAACGCUGGCGGCGUGCCUAACACAUGCAAGUGGAGCGACGAACCUGGCUUCGGCCAGGGGCAAAGCCGCGAACGGGUGAGUAACACGUGGAUUAUCUGCCCCAAUGACCGGGACAACCCGAGGAAACUCGGGCUAAUACCGGAUGUGCUCUUAGGAGGCAAGGAAGCUUCGGCCUCCGCAUUGGGAUGAGUCCGCUGCGCAUUAGCUGGUUGGUGGGGUAAUUGCCCACCAAGGGGACGAUGCGUAGCUGGUCUAAGAGGACGAUCAGCCAGACUGGAACUGAGACGCGGUCCAGACUCCGACGGUAGGACGCAGUGGGGAAUCUGGCGCAAUGCACGCAAGUGAGAGGUAGCAACGCCGCGUGCGGGAAGAAGGUCUUCGGAUCGUAAACCGCUUUCAGUUGGGACGAGGGUCAGCUGGUGAAUCGCCAGUCUGACUGACGGUACCUUCAGAAGAAGCCCCGGCUAACUACGUGCCAGCAGCCGCCGUAA